ensembl:antisense
GUAGACAAGGCUGGACUUGAACUUCCAGGGAUCCACCUGCCUCUGCCUCUGCCUGCUGCUGAGUGCUGGGAUUAAAGGUGAUUCCUCAGACCCUGUUCAACUGUCCUGUGGGCCUGGACAAGAAAGCUGCUCAUCAUUGGAGGGUAGGCCUACCUGCUCAUCUUGAGAAGCACCAGAGAGCGACUUCUGUUUGCUGAAGACGACACGGAUUAACCCAUUGUGAGACAGUCCAGGACGAAUAGAAAAUGAAGCAGCGCAGAUCAUAGGAGAAAUAUGGUGGUUCCUCAGACCCUGUUUGACUGUCCCGCAUGUCGGGACACCUGGCAUUGAGGUCAGCUCUGCAAUACUGAGCAGGGUGGAAAGCACCAGGAAGGGCAAAUGGUGCAACAACCUGAGCACCUACUAUGUUCCCUGACACACCAACCCAUAAGUGUCUAACAGGAUUUCUGUGCAAGGCCAUGGUUCCUGCCAUAGCAAGAACUGGCUCUAAGCAUCCUGGUUCUAAGGAUGCUGGUUUCCAACUGACUGCCGAGAAGCCAGUCCAGCUGGGUGAUCCACUCCACACAGGGUUCUUGGAAGAUGAGGAGAAGGUGAAAGGCAGAGAACAGAAGCUGUAAGUUCCACACUGAUUGAGCCAUCUCACCAGUCCCAGGUCCAUAUGAUUUUUUUUAAAGAUUUAUUUUUUAUUAUACAUAAGUACACUGUAGCUGUCUUCAGACACACCAGAAGAAAGCAUUGGAUCUCAUUACAGAUGGUUGUGAGCCACCAUGUGGUUGCUGGGAUUUGAACUCGGGACCUCCGGAAGAACAGUCAUUGCUCUUAACCGCUGAGCCAUCUCUGACUAUUAACAAUUAUUUUCUUUGCUUCUUUUCUUUUUUAAAAAAGAUUUUUAUGUGUGUUGCUGUUCUGCCUAUAUGUAUAUCUGUGUGAAGGGUAAUAUAUCCUCUGGAAUGGAUUACAGACAGUUGUUAGCUAUGGUCUUUAUGCCAGAAAUUGAAUCCAGGCACUCUGGAAGAACAGCAAGUGGUCUUCACUACCAAGUCAUCUCCCCAGGCCAUAUGCUCUGGGUUUAAAAAGUGGUUUGGGAGAAAAAAAGAGGUCAAGAAAUCCUUAGAGAACAGUGAGGAGAGGUAUAUGUGAAGGUUUAAAGGAUGAAGGGAGAAAGCAGAAGUGUUUUUUUUAAUAAGAUAUUUUCUUUAUUUACAUUUCAAAUGUUAUCUCCUUUCCUAGUUUCUUAUUUAAAAACCUUGUAUACCUUUCCCCAACCACUGCUCUCCAACCCACCCACUCCCAUUUCUGGACCCUGUCAUUCCUCUAUACUGGGUCAUAGAGACUUCACAGGACCAAGCGCCUCUCCUCUCAUUGAGGACCGACUAGCCCAUCCUCUGGUAUAUAUGCAGCUAGAGCCAUGAGUCCCACCAUGUGAUUUCUUGGAUUGAUGUUUAGUCCCAGAAAGCUCUAGGGGUACUGGUUAGUUCAUAUUGUUGUUCCUUCUAUGGGGCUGCAAACCCCUUCAACUCCUUGGGUCCUUUCUCUAGCUCCUUCAUUGGGGACCCUGUGCUAUGCCCAAUUCAUGGCUGUGAGCAUUCACUUCUGUAUUUGUCAGACUGGCAGAGCCUCUUAGCAGACAGCUAUAUAAGGCUCCUGUCAGCAAGCUCUUGUUGGCAUCCACAAUAAUGUCUGGGUUUGGUGGUUGUAUAUGGGAUAGAUCUCCAGGUGGGGCAGCCUCUGUAUGGUCAUUCCUUCAGUCUCUGCUCCCUCUUCUAAGAAGGAUCGAAGUAUCUACACUUUGGCCUUCCUUCUUUUUGAGUUUAUGUGUUUUGCAAAUUGUAUCUUGGGUAUUGAAAAAGGGAAAUUUAUAGUCUCCAAAAAGGCCUUUUUAAAAAAAAAAUUGGCAUAUGACUUUUGCAGUGAAAAGCUGCCCACAUGGCCUGAUCAUCUGAUUCAAUUGUAUAGCAAUGAAAUGACAGAUGUCACAGCCAAAUGGCUUGUACAUCUAACCAUGGUGUUUGUUUCAGAGAUAGGUUUUCAUGAUGUAGACCUGGUUGGCCUGAAAUUAGCUCUGUAGACCACGCUGCCCUCAGAACUCAGAUCUUCCACCCGCCUGUGCCUCCCCAGUGUCAGGAUGAAAGGUGUGCACCAUCACAUUUGGCCUCUUUACUGCAUAACAACACUGAAAUCACCAGCCUGGGCUUGCAAAUAGGCCUUUAUUAUCUUUGAGGAAGAGGAUAUACAACCCAUUCAGUUUUCAAGAGCAGAUGUUCAAGGCAUAUGAAGUCAGAGAGCUGAGGCUGAGCUCAUCUGUAAUCAACUGAAUUAUGCUCACAUCAUCACAUGCUGCUUUAUAAAUGAAGCUGCCAACAGG